rnacentral:piRNA from 1 species
UGGGAUUAAAGACAUGUGUCCCCGUGCCAGU